rnacentral:rRNA from 1 species
UACGAAGGGGGCUAGCGUUGUUCGGAAUCACUGGGCGUAAAGGGCGCGUAGGCGGCUAGAUAAGUCGGGGGUGAAAGCCUGUGGCUCAACCACAGAAUUGCCUUCGAUACUGUCUGGCUUGAGACCGGAAGAGGUUAGUGGAACUGCGAGUGUAGAGGUGAAAUUCGUAGAUAUUCGCAAGAACACCAGUGGCGAAGGCGGCUGACUGGUCCGGUUCUGACGCUGAGGCGCGAAAGCGUGGGGAGCAAACAGG